AGAGUUUGAUCAUGGCUCAGAAUCAACGCUGGCGGCGUGCCUCAGACAUGCAAGUCGAACGAUUAAGACUCCCUUCGGGGAGUGCAUAAAGUGGCGCACGGGUGAGUAACACGUAAGUAAUCUACCUUUGAGUGGGGAAUAACCCGGGGAAACCCGAGCUAAUACCGCAUAACGCAGCGGCACCGCAAGGUGACAGUUGUUAAAGGAGCAAUCCGCUUAAAGAGGAGCUUGCGGCAGAUUAGCUAGUUGGUAAGGUAAUGGCUUACCAAGGCUACGAUCUGUAUCCGGUCUAAGAGGACGGUCGGACACACUGACACUGAAUAACGGGUCAGACUCCUACGGGAGGCAGCAGUCGGGAAUUUUGGGCAAUGGGCGAAAGCCUGACCCAGCAACGCCUCGUGAGGGAUGAAGUAUUUCGGUAUGUAAACCUCGAAAGAAUGGGAACACUCAAUGACGGUACCAUUUAUAAGCUCCGGCUAACUACGUGCUAGCCGCCGCGGUAAUAC
rnacentral:rRNA from 1 species